UACAGAGGGGGCGAGCGUUAUUCGGAAUUAUUGGGCGUAAAGCGCGUGUAGGCGGUCCGGUAAGUCCGCUGUGAAAGUCGGGGGCUCAACCCUCGAAUGCCGGUGGAUACUGUCGGGCUAGAGUGCGGAAGAGGCGAGUGGAAUUCCUGGUGUAGCGGUGAAAUGCGCAGAUAUCAGGAGGAACACCGAUUGCGAAGGCAGCUCGCUGGGACGUAACUGACGCUGAGACGCGAAAGCGUGGGGAGCAAACAGG
rnacentral:rRNA from 1 species